CCCAGACUCCUACGGGAGGCAGCAGUGGGGGAUAUUGCACAAUGGGGGAAACCCUGAUGCAGCGACGCCGCGUGAGUGAAGAAGUAAUUCGUUACGUAAAGCUCUAUCAGCAGGGAAGAAAAUGACGGUACCUGACCAAGAAGCCCCGGCUAACUACGUGCCAGCAGCCGCGGUAAUACGUAGGGGGCAAGCGUUAUCCGGAAUUACUGGGUGUAAAGGGAGCGCAGACGGCAGUGCAAGUCUGGAGUGAAAGCCCGGGGCCCAACCCCGGGACUGCAUUUGGAACUGUGUAGCUGGAGUGUCGGAGAGGCAGGCGGAAUUCCUAGUGUAGCGGUGAAAUGCGUAGAUAUUAGGAGGAACGCCAGUGGCGAAGGCGGCCUGCUGGACGAUGACUGACGUUGAGGCUCGAAAGCGUGGGGAGCAAACAGGAUUAGAUACCCGUGUAC
rnacentral:rRNA from 1 species